GCUACUCCUCAAACCUAAAACAAUGGGCUAUCAAGUAGUUAAUGUUUAUACAACUGCAUCCUCCGCUGAUAAUCUAUCCCGUCAUGAAAUGCUCAUGUGGGUAAAUGACUGCCUUCAGGCUCAUUUUACGAAAAUUGAGCAACUUCAUACUGGAGCCGGAUAUUGCUUGGUAAGGAGAGGGGCAUUAUACAAUGCGCAGAACCACUGCAACUUUUUCCUCACGAGGGACGAGGAAAAGUGGUUUCUAGGCCAUGGCCGAGGGGCCGACAAGUUUCAGCGGCCAUUUAUCUUGCUUUGUUUUCCGCCUGUUUUCUUUCGUUUUUCAUCGAUUUUUUCGUUUUUUCUUAUUAAAGCUGAUAAAUAAAUAUUUUUUGCAGAUGCUAAAACAAUUUCCAAGUAAAAAAAUCAUGUAUUCAGUGGGCAAGCAGCGGUGAAAGUGGUCAAUGCAAUAUGAUGGAUUACGGGAAUACAAAACCUAAACUUUUUCUGAAACAUGAUACAUAUGCUGCUUAGAUGCUGAAACUACCUGAUUUUCAUAACGAGACCGCUGAAAAAGUUUUGAGGUUUUCAAAAUUCAACUUUUUGUGCGAAAAUCUCGACUUUUUCACCAAAAAAGUUGAAUUUUGAAAACCUCAAAACUUUUUCAGCGGUCUCGUUAUGAAAAUCAGGUCAUUUCAGCAUUUAAGCAUCAUAUGUAUCAUGUUUCAGAAAAAGUUUAGGUUGUGGUAUUCCCGUAAUCCAUCAUAUUACAAUGCCCACUUUCACCGCUGCUUGCCGACUGAAUACAUAAUUUUUUCACUUGGAAAUUGUUUUAGCAUCUGCAAAAAAUAUUUAUUUAUCAGUUUUAAUAAGAAAAAACGGGAAAAAGCUGAGAAAAACGAAAGAAAACAGGCGGAAAACAAAGCAAGAUAAAUGGCCGCUGAAACUUGUCGGCCCCUCGUCCAUGGCCUAGAAACCACUUUUCCUCGUCCUUCGUGAGGAAAAAGUUGCAGUGAGAACGAAAAUCGCGAGAAAAAGUGGAAUAUUGAAAUUUUAGUGAAAAAGUAAAAUUUUAUGAAAAUUUUUUUUAAAAAACUUACAAUUAGAAAAUCUAAAUUUCAACAUUUAUUGAUUUCUGCUAGUUUUUUCCCCGAAUUCAUGGUAGUUGAUUUAUCUCAUUAACAGCACUUAAAGGAGGACUAACGGUUCGGACGAUUUUGAACGUAUAGGCCUAAAAUGAGCUGAUGAACGAAUUUCGUAAUAAAACUGCUCAAAAAAAAUUUCAAAAGUUUUUUAUGGCGGUUCAAAAUUUUGAAAAAAUUACACUGGUUUUGGCUAAAAUCACGAAUUUUUCCCAUUUUUUCGUGUCACAUCUGUUCGAAGUUGGAUUUUUUGGAAUUAUCGUCCUUUAUUACAUGUAGUGGUAGUUUAUCUCAUUUAAUUUCGUCGAUUAAAGUACAUUUAAAGUAGAAAUUGGUUACCUAUCGGCUUUAAAUGUACUUUCGACAAAUAUCGACGAAAUUAAAUGAGAUAAACUACCACUACAUGUAAUAAAGGACGAUAAUUCCAAAAAAUCCAACUUCGAACAGAUGUGACACGGAAAGAUGGGGAAAAAUUCGUGAUUUUAGCCAAACUCAGUUUAAUUUUUUCAAAAUUUUGAACCACCAUAAAAAAUUUUUUGAAAUUGUUUUGAGCAGUUUCAUUACGAAAUUCGUUCAUUUCAGCUCAUUUUAGGCCUAUACGUUCAAAAUCGUCCGAACCGUUAGUCCUCCUGUAAUAAAUAACGUUAACAUAUAAUUUUUCUGUUAUAGUUAAUUUAAUUACUAUUAUUAUUAUUAUAAUAACGCCUAAAUUGUGCAGAAUUCUCCAUUUUUUUCAUUUUCGGGUACCACCACACGAUUCAUUUUGAAGCUGCCAGUUGAAGCUGAAAGGGAUGAAAACAAUACAAUUUUCGUGAUUUUAGAAUGUGUUUGAAAAAAUGAAAAAAAUCUAUGUUACAAAAAAAUUCCAAAAAAAUCGAAAGUUCAACGAAUUUUAAUCGAAUUUCGUGAAAAUUGGACCCAAAAUUGCAAAUUUCUAGGUAAACCUCAAAAUUUUGUCAUUUUUUACUUCAAAAAUCGGAAAUAAAAUGAAUAUUUGUGUUGCAGUUCACCGAUUUCCUAUUCCCUGAUAGUAUUCAAUUGAAGAAAGUGAAAUGGAAUAGUCGUCUUGAAUUGGAUUGGCUUUCCAACUGGAAACUAGUGCAGACUACGUGGAAGAAUUUGGGUGUCGAGAAAGUGAUUCCUGUUGAUAAAUUGAUUAAGGGAAAAUUUCAGGUAUACACAAUACAAACUACAAAGUAUCUAGCUUAACUUUAAAUGUGAUCGGAUGUGAAAUUAAUGAAUUUCAUGAUGAAACUGUUUGAAAAUGAAAAUUUCUAAAAAAAAAAUAUUAUGCCGACUCAAAAAAUGGCCUAAAAUUAGUUAAAAUUUGAAAUUCGACCGACUUGUCAAUCGGCUGGAACCUAAUUUUUUUGAAAUCACCGUGUAAUUUUGGGCAUAAAAGUUUAUUAUCUUGAGUUUUUAACUCGAUUUAGGUACAUUUUGUUUCGGAGCUACUUCCGGCCCUUGUGAGGAUUAUUAGGAUCUUUACACUGUGUAUUUACUCAUAAUUUAUUGCGUUAAUAAAAGCUAUCAUUAAAAGUAGAAUCAAUCAAUUAUCACGUCUCCCGAUAGUCGGAGCGAAGCGAGUGAGUGGAGGAGCGCCAUCCAAUUUAGGCCAAUGCAAAUCCUCGUGGGUUACUGUCACAGUUGUCGUCACGUGUGUCGUCGCGAGACCACCAUUGCUGCUCCUUUAAUCGUACACAUUUGGCGGCAGUUUGAAUUAGGGUUUUCCUUGUUGCUCGAAUAGCUCAUUGACUGGUGUAGUUGUACUUGGCAUUGCUCAGAAGAUUGAAUGGGAAGUUGAUAGCAGUUAUAAUACGUAACAAUUUGAAGUAUUAUUCUUAAUAAAUCUUUGUAUUUAUUACAGUCGUGAACAGUGGAAUUUCUUUAUUCCCUGUCUUCGCGACACAUUUAAGGUGGAAGAGGAAUGUUCCUAACAAGAAAAGGUUUUUAGUUUACCGUCAGACUUCAAAACGAGACAUGUGCCAUUUGAAAGUGUUCUAUAAGGAUAUGUCACUGCAAAAUUUUAAGCGGCAAAGCUCCGCUCUCAAUCUCUCUCUAGCAUUGAUCUGAAAACGUUUCAGUGCAUUUUUUCACUACUUUGGAGGCCUGUAGAAUUGCUCAAAAUUUUUUUUUUGCAAACGAUCAAUGUUUUUCAGAAAGUUUAAAAGUAGGAAAACAAUUUGGUAGAUUUUUGGAAAAUUUUUAAUUUUUUUCGAAAAAAAUCUGAAAAUUCUUGAUAUUUUUCAAAAAAAUUUAAAACUUUCAAAAAAUCUACCAAAUUGUUUUCCUACUUUUAAACUUUCUGAAAAACAUUUAAAGUUUGCAAAAAAAAAUUUUGGAGCAAUUCUACAUGCCUCCAAAGUAGUGAAAAAAUGCACUGAAACGUUUUCAGAUCAAUGCUAGAGAGAUUGAGAGCGGAGCUUUGCCGCUUAAAAAUUUGCAGUGACAUAUCCUUAUAGAACACUUUCAAAUGGCACAUGUCUCGUUUUGAAGUCUGACGGUAAACUAAAAACCUUUUCUUGUUAGGAACAUUCCUCUUCCACCGUUAAUGUACCUAAAUUGAGUUGAAAACUCAAGAUAAUAAACUGGUAUGCCCAAAAUUACACGGUGAUUUCAAAAAAAAAAAGUUUCCAGCCGCUUGGCAAGUCGGUCAAAUUUUAAAUUUUAGCUAAUUUUAGGCCAUUUUUUGAGCCGUCAUAACUUUUUUUUCGUAAAGUUUUCAAAAAGUUUCAUUAUGAAAUUCGGCGUUUUCAGACAAUUUUGAGUCUAAUAAAGCACCUUUAAUCUUCUAUCAAUUUAAAAAAUUCAAUUUUUGCAGGACAACUUUGAAUUCUUGCAAUGGUUCAAGAAAUUGUUCGAUGCUAACUAUGAUGGACAUGAGUAUGAUCCAAUGCAAGCACGUAAUGGAGAAGGUCUUCCGACUGAAGGGGGUCCAGCUGCUGGAGCUUCAGCGAAGACUCCGUCGAGAAUGCCGGCUAGAAGUGUUCCGCAGUACGGUUUUUUUUGGAAAUCUCGUUAUUCAAUUUUUCUAUAUACCAGGGGUGAUGAACAGCAAACGAUUAUUUAUUCCGGCAAAUUUUCAGAAUUGCCGGAAUUUAAAUUUCCGAUAAAUCGGCGAAUUGCCGGUUUGCCGAAUGUUUGCCCAAUUCGCCGAAAACUUUCAAUUCCGGCAAAUUUCAGAUUUUCCGAUUUGCCGGAAUUUUUCUAUUCCGGCAAGUUGCCGAUUUUCCGCUUUGCCGGAACUUUCCAAUUCCGGCAAAUUGCCGAUUUUUCGAUAUGCCGGAAAUUUUCAAUUCCGGCAAAUUGCCGAUUUGCCGGAAUGUUUCUAUUCCGGCAAGUUGCCGAUUUUCGGAAAAUUUUCAUUUUUGGCGAUUUGCUGGAAAUUUUCAAUUCUGGCAAAUUGCCGGUUUGCCGAAUUUGCACGAAAUUUUCAUUUUCGGCAAAUUGUAGGCUUGCCUAAUUUUCCGGAAAAAUUUAAAUUUCGGCAAAAAGCCGAUUUGCCGGAAUAUAUGAAUUUCGGCGAACUGCUGAUUUGACGAAAAUUAUCAAUUUUGGCAAUUUGCCGGAAAUUUUCAUUUUUGGCAAAUUUCAGGUUUUCCGAUUUGCCGGACAGUUUCAAAUUCGGCAAAUUGCGGAUCUACCUGAAAUACUCCAUUCAGGUUUGCCUAAUUUGCCGGAAAAAAAAUUAAGUUCCGGUUUGCCGUUUUGCCGGAAAUAUUCAGUUCCCGCAAGUUGCUGAUUUGGUGGAAAUUGUCGUCUUCGGCAAAUUUCCGGUUUCCCCAUUUGCCGGAAAUGUUAAUUUUUGCCAAAUUGCCGAUUUGCCGGAAUAUAUAAAUUCCGGCGAAUUGCUGAUUUGAUGGGAAUUAUCAAUUUUGGCAAUUUGCCGGAAAUGUUCAUUUUUGGAAAAUUGCCCAUUUACCGGAAAUUUUCAUUUUUGGAAAAUUUCAGGUUUGCCCAAUUGCGGGAAAUUAUCGAUUCCGGCAAAUUGCAUGUUUGCCCAAUUUGCCGAAAACUUUCAAUUCCGGCAAAUUGCCGAUUUUUCGAUUCCGGCACAUUUCAGAUUUUCCAAUAUGCCGGAUAUUUGCAAUUCCGGCAAUAUGCCGAUUUUCCGCUUUGCCGGAACUUUCCAAUACCGGCAAAUUGCCGAUUUUCCGAUAUGCCGGAAAUUUUCAAUUCCGGCAAAUUGCCGAUUUGCCGGAAUUUUUCUAUUCCGGCAAGUUGCCGAUUUUCGGAAAAUUUUCAUUUUUGGCGAUUUGCCGGAAAUUUUCAAUUCCGGCCAGUUGCCGAUUUGCCAGAAAUUAUAAAUUCCGGCCAGUUGCCGAUUUGCCAGAAAUUAUGAAUUCCGGCAAAUUUCCAUUUUGCCGGAAAUUUUCAAUUCCGGCAAAUGCAGGUUUGCCUAAUUUGCCGGAAAUUUUCAAUUCCGGCCAGUUGCCGAUUUGCCAGAAAUUAUGAAUUCCGGCAAAUUUCCAUUUUGCCGGAAAUUUUCUAUUCCGGCAAAUUUCCAUUUUGCCGGAAAUUUUCAAUUCCGGCAAAUGCAGGUUUGCCUAAUUUGCCGGAAAAUGUUCCAUUCCGGCAAUCUGCCGAUUUUUGGCGAUUUGCCGGAAAUUUUCUGCAAAUCGCAUGAUGAUUGCCUAAUUUGCCGGAAUAAUUCAAUUCCGGCAAAAUGCCAAAUGCUUGCCACCCACCUCUCUGUUUCAUACUAGUUUAUUUCGAAAAAAAAAUUUUUUUCUGAAAUAAAAAAAAAUACACUAAAUUUUUUGAAAAUUGAAAUUUUUAAUUAAAAAAAACUUUUUUUUUUUCAGAAAACCAGUGACCACAAUGAGAACUCCAGCCGCCACCCCGGCUGCUCCACCAACCCGUCCAACUCCAUCCCGUUCUUCAGCUGCUCCGAGAGCAACAGCUCCAACUCCAACAGCAGCACCUCCAAAAACUUGUGCACCGCCCGUUCGUUCUGCAUCAACCGUAGCAGCGGCUGCUGCUGCUGCACCACCGGGAGUCGAUAUGGCGACAUUUAAUAAAUUAAAAGAAGAACUGGAAGAAGUUACACGUCAGCUGACAGAAUCUGACAAUGUUAUUGCAAGUCUGGAAAAAGAAAGAGACUUUUAUUUUAGUAAACUUCGAACGAUUGAAGUUAUUUGUCAGGAUAAUGAAUCGAUUGGAAAUGUUGAAGUUAAUCGAGUUUUGGAG
rnacentral:sRNA from 1 species